rnacentral:rRNA from 1 species
AUACGUAGGUGGCAAGCGUUGUCCGGAAUUAUUGGGCGUAAAGCGCGCGCAGGCGGUCCUUUAAGUCUGAUGUGAAAGCCCACGGCUCAACCGUGGAGGGUCAUUGGACACUGGGGGACUUGAGUGCAGAAGAGGAAAGUGGAAUUCCAAGUGUAGAGGUGAAAUGCGUAGAGAUUUGGAGGAAAACUAGUGGCGAAGGCGACUUUCUGGUCUGUAACUGACGCUGAGGCGCGAAAGCGUGGGGAGCAAACAGGAUUAGAUACCCUGGUAGUCCACGCCGUAAACGAUGAGUGCUAAGUGUUAGGGGGUUUCCGCCCCUUAGUGCUGCAGCUAACGCAUUAAGCGCUCCGCCUGGGGAGUACGGUCGCAAGACUGAAACUCAAAGGAAUUGACGGGG